AACGCACCUUGCGCUCCCGGCAGAUCUAAUCUGGGGAGCAUGCCUGUUUGAGGGCCGCGAAUUGUUUCGAACGACGGCUUUCUUCCAUGUGGAAGAGAGUUGGCGGAUCGGUAUUGAGGGUUUUGCCGUUCACCGUGGCUUCCUCGAAAUGCAUUAGCGCAUCCAUUCAAUAGGCAAGACGGACGAAAGCUUGAUUUUCGCCCCUCGUCUUCCCUGCCGGGUUUUGAUAAUAUCAGGACUUCGGAGGUGGAGAGGUUGGGUUUGGAGCCGGACGCGACGUUUUGCUGGUUGGAGUGCUUCUGAACCCCGCCCAUGUUUCUGCUUGCAAAAGGGGGAAAAGGGAUUUCAAUUUCAAUUCAUCGGCCUCAGAUUGGUAGGACUACCCGCUGAACUUAA
rnacentral:misc_RNA from 1 species